rnacentral:rRNA from 1 species
GAACAACGCUGGCGGCGUGUCUUAAGCAUGCAAGUCGAGCGGCAAGGGCAGCAAUGCCCCUAGAGCGGCGGACUGGUGAGUAACGCGUGGGUGAUCUACCUAGGGCAUGGGGAUAGCCAUUAGAAAUAGUGGGUAAUACCGAAUACGUUCGCAUGGAUGCGUCCAUGCGAGGAAAGGUGCUACGGCACCGGCCUAUGAUGAGCUUGCGUCUGAUUAGCUAGUUGGUGAGGUAAAGGCCCACCAAGGCGAUGAUCGGUAGCCGGCCUGAGAGGGUGUACGGCCACACUGGGACUGAGAUACGGCUCAGACUCCUACGGGAGGCAGCAGCUAAGAAUAUUCCGCAAUGGACGAAAGUCUGACGGAGCGACGCCGCGUGGAUGAUGAAGGCCGAAAGGUUGUAAAGUCCUUUUGCUGGGGAAGAAUAAGCGUGGGAGGGAAUGCCCGCGUGAUGACAUGAACCGGCGAAUAAGCCCCGGCUAACUACGUG